rnacentral:rRNA from 1 species
GCAAGUCGAACGAGAAAGUACCUUCGGGUGCGAGUAGAGUGGCGGACGGGUGAGUAACGCGUGGGAAUCUGCCUUAUAGUGGGGGACAACAAUCGGAAACGGUUGCUAAUACCGCAUACGCCCUACGGGGGAAAGACUUCGGUCGCUAUUAGAUGAGCCCGCGUAAGAUUAGCUUGUUGGUAGGGUAAUGGCCUACCAAGGCGACGAUCUUUAGCUGGUCUGAGAGGACGAUC